rnacentral:misc_RNA from 1 species
GUGAGUCAUCGAAUCUUUGAACGCACAUUGCGCCCGCCAGUAUUCUGGCGGGCAUGCCUGUUCGAGCGUCAUUUCAACCCUCAAGCCCAGCUUGGUGUUGGGACUCGCGAGUUAAAUCGCGUUCCCCAAAUUGAUUGGCGGUCACGUCGAGCUUCCAUAGCGUAGUAGUAAAACCCUCGUUACUGGUAAUCGUCGCGGCCACGCCGUUAAACCCCAACUUCUGAAUGUUGACCUCGGAUCAGGUAGGAAUACCCGCUGAACUUAAGCAUAUCAAUAAGCGGAGGA